CACACUCUGCGCUACAGGUGUGCUGCCUGGUAUAUCCCUUGAGCCUAUUUACUUACCCCGGGGGCAAUACUAUAGAGAUGCUGGUGCGCAUGUCCGUUAAUCGGAAAGCCUAAUUCAUCUCUUAGCGCUCCCACUUGAACCUUUGGUUCAAGGACAAUGGUUGCCACGGUAUUCGCGGAGUGUGC
rnacentral:other from 1 species